CGUUCAUCAGAUUGGUAAAACCAGAAAUAAAUGCAAUUAAAGUAAAAGGAUUUACACUUGUAGGUAAUACAUUUCAGAAGACAAUCGAGUCUUCACUGCAGAUGUAUCUUGAGAGACAGAGAUCAAGAUUUUAAUUUCCAAGUUCACCUUUGCUCCCUGAACCUCUAGUGGUGCCCUUUGAGAUUUGGGAUGCCUGACAGAGACAGACUCUGCACCCUACCUCCGUUUCCCACCCUGGUCACUCAGGGCAUUGAUUUGUGGCCACACAAGUCAGGUAGGUAAAGGCACAAAAGAUGAAGAUACAGGUUUAACCAUCUAUUUUAUUUAACCACUCUUUUUGCUGAGCACAGUACACCUACUUUAGGUACCCACUGUGUGACAGAUGGAGGUUUGUGAUGCUCUAAGUCACUGUUCUUCCUCUGCCUUGCACCUGGGCAAAACCCACCCAUGUCUGUUCAACUAGCCUCUUUCUUCCACUGUAGCUUUCUUUACAAUUUUAGGCUUUGAUUUGUCAUGUUUGUCCUGUGAAGGAGAAAUUUGUGUUGAAGAUGUUCGAGGUCUGGCAGUAGCAAGAAAUUGUGAACCCCAACCAGAUGGAUCAAAGGGUGAACUGAUGACAUCUUUACCAGCAGAUGACAUGGACUUCAUGACUGUGAGGCCCAAGGUCCUUUGGGUGAAGAGUAGAGAACAUCAGACUCUCAGCAUGGCCUGGAGAUCUGCCUGUCCGACCUGCUGAGGGCACUGCUGGAAAUUAAUGCACCUGCAGUCAGAUGUAAGAGGGAGGAGUAGAUUUUCUGUGAAAGCUUUUACAACAUGUUGAUGUCUCUGGGGUUAUUUGUGUCUACUGUAUCAUUAGUUUCU
rnacentral:lncRNA from 1 species